rnacentral:rRNA from 1 species
UACGUAGGGUGCGAGCGUUGUCCGGAAUUAUUGGGCGUAAAGAGCUUGUAGGCGGUUUGUCGCGUCUGCUGUGAAAAUCCGGGGCUCAACCCCGGACUUGCAGUGGGUACGGGCAGACUGGAGUGUGGUAGGGGAGACUGGAAUUCCUGGUGUAGCGGUGGAAUGCGCAGAUAUCAGGAGGAACACCGAUGGCGAAGGCAGGUCUCUGGGCCACUACUGACGCUGAGGCGCGAAAGCGUGGGGAGCAAACGGG